CAGAAAUCUUUAUGCAGUUGCUGGGACCCCAGUAAUGAUCUCGUGCUAUGAGACAAAUCUUAGUUGACAGGAGUCUCCAGCCUGGCUGCACAGCAAGAGGUAAAUGGUGGGCCAGCCAGUGAAGCUUUGUCUCUUACGGCCCCUCCCUGCAGCCUGCAUUACUGCCCUGAGCUCUGUCAGAUCAAUGGUGGCAACACACUCUCAUAGGAGGCCCAGAUGGGACCACCUCAUUGCAAGAAAACUCAGGGUGCCCAGUGAUUCUGCAUUCGAAGGAAGAAUGAAACUGAGUCUCUGGAGAUUCAGACCAACAGAAGAGGAUAACUACAUGAAACAGAGAGUACAUCAAGAGAUUCUUUAAAAAUACUACUAU